GGAAGAACAAACAUAUCCAGGAAUUUAGUGGCCUAUAGCAACCACUGAAUACAAGUAAAAAAUCAAUGUGAGACUAUACAGAAGUUCUAUGGGGCUGCACAACUACUACUCCCAGCAGUCCCAAGUAACUAUUGGCAUAGUUUAGGGGCGACUAAAGGGCAACUUUUAGGUCAGUAUGGGCACCAUACUCACAGCACAUAUAGUGUCUGUUCUGCCCAGGUCAGUACGGGCACCAUACUCACAGCACAUAUAGUGUCUGUUCUGCCCAGGUCAGUACGGGCACCAUACUCACAGCACAUAUAGUGUCUGUUCUGCCCAGGUCAGUAUGGGCACCAUACUCACAGCACAUAUAGUGUCUGUUCUGCCCAGGUCAGUACAGGCACCAUACUCACAGCACACAGUGUCUGUUCUGCCCAGGUCAGUACGGGCACCAUACUCACAGCACAUAUAGUGUCUGUUCUGCCCAGGUCAGUACGGGCACCAUACUCACAGCACAUAUAGUGUCUGUUCUGCCCAGGUCAAUACGGGCACCAUACUCACAGCACAUAUAGUGUCUGUUCUGCCCAGGUCAGUACGGGCACCAUACUCACAGCACAUAUAGUGUCUGUUCUGCCCAGGUCAGUACGGGCACCAUACUCACAGCACACAGUGUCUGUUCUGCCCAGGUCAGUACGGGCACCAUACUCACAGCACAAAGUGUCUGUUCUGCCCAGGUCAGUACGGGCACCAUACUCACAGCACAUAUAGAGUCUGUUCUGCCCAGGUCAGUACAGGCACCAUACUGUUCUGCCCAGGUCAGUACGGGCACCAUACUCACAGCACAUAUAGUGUCUGUUCUGCCCAGGUCAGUACGGGCACCAUACUCACAGCACAUAUAGUGUCUGUUCUGCCCAGGUCAGUACGGGCACCAUACUCACAGCACAUAUAGUGUCUGUUCUGCCCAGGUCAGUACGGGCACCAUACUCACAGCACACAGUGUCUGUUCUGCUCAGGUCAGUACGGGCACCAUACUCACAGCACAUAUAGUGUCUGUUCUGCCCAGGUCAGUACGGGCAACAUACUCACAGCACACAGUGUCUGUUCUGCCCAGGUCAGUACGGGCACCAUACUCACAGCACAUAUAGUGUCUGUUCUGCCCAGGUCAGUACGGGCAACAUACUCACAGCACACAGUGUCUGUUCUGCCCAGGUCAGUACGGGCACCAUACUCACAGCACAUAGUGUCUUCAGCGCAAACUUAUC